GACGAACGCUGGCGGCGUGCUUAACACAUGCCAGUCGAACGGAAAGGCCCUGCUUUUGUGGGGUGCUCGAGUGGCGAACGGGUGAGUAACACGUGAGUAACCUGCCCUUGACUUUGGGAUAACUUCAGGAAACUGGGGCUAAUACCGGAUAGGAGCUCCUGCUGCAUGGUGGGGGUUGGAAAGUUUCGGCGGUUGGGGAUGGACUCGCGGCUUAUCAGCUUGAUGGUGGAGUAGUGGCUUACCAAGGCUUUGACGGGUAGCCGGCCUGAGAGGGUGACCGGCCACAUUGGGACUGAGAUACGGCCCAGACUCCUACGGGAGGCAGCAGUGGGGAAUAUUGCACAAUGGGCGGAAGCCUGAUGCAGCAACGCCGCGUGCGGGAUGACGGCCUUCGGGUUGUAAACCGCUGUCGCCUGUGACGAAGCGUGAGUGACGGUAAUGGGUAAAGAAGCACCGGCUAACUACGUG
rnacentral:rRNA from 1 species